AUGAUGCGUCAUUCCAAGGAAAACAGCCGGAACUGGCAGGCCAGGUCAUGUGGUGAGAUGAGUAAUUCCAGCUCCCUUACUGGACCUGAUUUAUACAGCUCAGGUCCAAUAGUUCUGAGAAAUUGUUGAUGGUGGGAGCCUUUCUGUUUGUUUGUUUCUCUGGAAACUUGAAGCCUUUCAAAUAAAGAACAAAUGAGGUGCAGGGAAUUUUUAGCUGGGGUAUGUGCUUCAGGAUGUUUGCUGCAUUCAGGCUUCAAGAACACAAAUUCUCUGCAGACAAUCCCACACACAGUGGGGGAAAAAAGGAUAUUGGGCUUGGAAGUGCACCAGGGAGAUGGGACUCAAGUGAGCUUUGAACAGCAAUCAUUGUCAUUAGUGGUGGUGCUGUAAUAUGUGCUUGACUCAAAUCCAGCAUUGCACAGGCAAGAACCUGGUGAAACCUUUGUAACUUGAUAUUUGUGGUUGUGAUCCGCUGUUGAAUAGGCUAGACAUGAAUAAAAUCAGUAUUUUUUAAAGUGUUGUGUGGGGUUUUUUACGUCAAAAAAGGCUGGUUGCCCUCUUGGACUUUAUUGUGUUCAUGUGAAAUGUUUGAUGUGGACUUAAUACGGGUCUGCAGAUUUUUUAGGACAGUCCACGUCCCCUUGCAGAAUUUCACCUUCCUCAGAGGUGGGUGCUGCAGUGCUGCACUGAAUUUCUGCCACAGGGAAAGAUGUGAAGGUAAUUUGUCAUGUUACCCUGCUGGUCCUGCAGGGGUGGUCCCUCUGUGCUGUGACAGCUCCACAGCCUGCCAUCAGGUUGGCGUGAUCUCCUGGCUGGACAUCGGUGCCGGUGAGGGAUGUGUCUGACUCCAUUCCGGCCCUUGCUCGAGGAAAGGUGUGGGUGAAGGUGCUUUUGCAUCUCCCACAUUCUGUGUCUGGUUGGACACCAAGACUAAAGACUGCCAAUUUGGGCACUGCCCAGAGUGUUACCACCUUCCAUGAGACCUGUCCUGCUCCAUCAUGGGCACUGCAUGUGGGAAUGCUCAAUGGCAAUCUCCAAAUUACUCCUCACUCAGCUUUUUCUUGCUUCUGGACUCGGGAGCCACAAAGGUAAGUCCAUGCAUGUGGCAUUGAUCCAUGCGUCUGCCUCACUCACAGUCACGCUGGCAGAGGGCAAGGAGACAACAGUCAAGGAAAAAGCCUUGUUUUCCCAGUGGAUGCAGGAGUCUGUGUCUUGCUGAAGGGCAGUGGUCCCCACACAGAUUGUUUUUCUUUUUUCCUCUCCCCCACCACUGUGGCAGCAUUGUUACUGGUGAGUUCAUGUGCUUGUCUGCUCCCUGAGGGUGUACCUCACCCAGAGCCCUCACUGCCUCUGGUCCUUGAGCCCUGGACACGUUUGCACAUUUGAGUUAAUCCACAUACUUUGUUUCUUUUACAAAGUCUUUUUUUUCUCUCAGCUGCCACAUUUCAAAGCACACUUGCUUACUUUACUUCAUCUCUUUCCCUUCUUCAUCCAGCCCAGAUGAUUCUUCACUCCCCUCUGGAGGGAAGUUGCUGUCCCAAAGCUAUUGUAAAUGCAGGUGAACCCGGUGGGAAGAAAUGGUGAUGUCUGACUCCAGUUCAGAAGGCUGAAUGAUUUCUUUAUUAUAACUAUACUAUAAUGCAUUCAUAUACUAUUUCAAGGAGAUACUAAAACUACAAACCUACCAAAUCUCACUGACUCACAACUCGUGACCCUCUGAGAGCCCAGCCCCAGGAGGGUUGGGUUGGCCAUCAGACUCAAGCAAUCCUCACCAGAAUCCAACCAAGCACUCACCCCAGCAGUGAAUGUGCCUACCACACAAACCCCACCGCACUAAAGUGAGUGGCACAAAUGCCACCGAGGGAGCUGUGUUUUGGAUCCCAUCAGUACAGACCCCCCCACUUGCCAGCCUGCACCAGCAGUGCUCCAAACCUGCAGCAAUGUGUGUAGAAUUGAGAUUGCUCACAACUACAGGUAGAUGUCUAAUGUCCAGGCAAUAUCACAUAAAUCAUCUCUUCACCCCAAAAAAUUAAUCAGAUUUGGGUUACGAUGAUGCAAACCCCUUUAUCUCCCUAUCACCACCACCUCUCCCCCUUUAGUAUUUAUUAAAGAAAAGUCAAAAUGCUUCUAAUAAUUUUUUUUUUUUUUUUUUCCCCCUAUGAAAAUGUCUUUUUUAUCUAGCAGGUAGCAAAGAUCUGAAGGGAGGAGUGGUCAUCUCAGGCUGCUGGGGGUGGUCACUCAUCAGAACUGUAAAUGGGUGAUGGGGAUGGAGACAAAGGCAAUUCUGGUCAGGCUGCAAGCACAGCCCUGACUUCCACUCUUGUAAAUAGUCAUUUCAUGGCUUCCUUCUGAAAUUUGGGAUUUAGGGAGUUCCAGCAAAGGGUGAGGCCGCUCCAGGGCUGUGUCUGUGAGCCCCAGGAAUCUGUUCUACAUUUUUUCAGUCCCUUGCGUGGUGUUAAAUUUUGUGACACCUUCUUCAGUCUGACUUACCGCAGAUAAGACAGAGAGGAUUUUUUUAAACCAAUGAGGAUUAGGGUAAGUUUGGAAUAAGGUUUUUAGAGGGUGGAUUAUGAAGGCACGAGCUGUGCAAGGCUGACCAUUUGAGCUUCAUCUGCCAUAAGGGCCCACAGAGUAUUAAACUUCAUUCAUGGCAAUUCAGGUAUAAAGGAAAUGUCAGGAAGAAGGAGGAGCAGGGAGGAGUAUAAAUGUAUUCAUUCUGAGUACAGCAUUUGUAUUUGCUGUUGUAAUUGGUCUGUUAAAAUGAUUUCCUAGAAGUGAAUUAGCGAUCCCAGUAGAGAAUACAAUUUGGAGAGUCAUUAAAUUAGAAGAAACUAAAUCGAAGGCAGAGUAGCAUCUCUUCUAUGCUGUGGCAGAAACUGUGUUGCAGACAGAUUGACUGCUGACAGAUCGUCAGAACUGAGUGAUAUUCACUCAUGACUUCCAAGGGGAAUUGUGGAAUUACCUACAGCACUUCAUUCACUUAAUGAAUUGUUGCCUCCAUUGUUGCCUGAAGCCUGCAGAGUAACAAAGGCGCUGGCUUUCUUUGAAACGGUUUCCAUAGGUGUCUCUAAGGUACCGCAGCCUGGUAAAUGUAACUUCUGUAGGAGGAGAAUUACUUGUAUAACAAGGAAUUGAAUCAGUGAAUGCCUGAUAAAUACAAAAAAUGUCCUUCAUAAAAGUCACCAUCAUUUCUGUUAUGGGAGGUUUUGCUUCGGGACACUGAUUUCUUUGGAGAGAUAAACAAGCACAGUGGUAAUGGUGAGACUUCUUGGUUAGGUCAGAAGGUUUUAGAGGGAAAUGUCCACUCACGUGAUCAAAA